UACGUAGGGUGCGAGCGUUAAUCGGAAUUACUGGGCGUAAAGAGUGCGUAGGCGGUUUCUCAAGUCCGCUGUGAAAGCCCCGAGCUCAACUUGGGAAUUGCAGUGGAUACUGGCGAGCUGGAGUGCGGUAGAGGAAGGUGGAAUUCCCGGUGUAGCGGUGAAAUGCGUAGAGAUCGGGAGGAACACCAGUGGCGAAGGCGGCCUUCUGGACCAGCACUGACACUCAAGCACGAAAGCGUGGGGAGCAAACAGG
rnacentral:rRNA from 1 species